UGCCUCGUUUCCCAGUCCAAAGGAAUCCUGCCUUCCCCUCUAUUACCAUGUAGCAUUGCAGAAACACUCCCCUGCUCAUGGUAAUCACUCACUGUAAGUUUCUCAUCCUUUGAAUAGUAAUAUGCCCUUAGCGCAGAUACAUUUGGGUGCCUAAUACUUCCAAUCACUUCCAUCUGUUGCUCAAACUCUUUUUUAGCCACCGGCACUUCCUUCAAUCUCUUCACCACCACUGUGGUUGCGUCCUCAAGAGCUGCCUUGUAAGUUGUCCCAAAAGUUNNNNNNNUUCAGCGGAUGCUCUCAACAAGUCCUCCAAGUCAAAUGCAAGAUUACAACCUUCAAAGAAUACAAG
rnacentral:misc_RNA from 1 species